UCUGGGCCCAGUGGCGCAGGCCUGUAAUCCCAGUGGCUUGAGAGGCUGAGGCAGGAGGAUUGCAAGUUCAAAGCCAGCCUCAGCAAUUUAGUGAGGCCCUAAGAAACUUAGUGAAACCCUGUCUCUA
rnacentral:sRNA from 1 species